GUGACUGCGUACCUUUUGUAUAAUGGGUCAGCGACUUAUAUUCUGUAGCAAGGUUAACCGAAUAGGGGAGCCGGAGGGAAACCGAGUCUUAACCGGGCGUUAAGUUGCAGGGUAUAGACCCGAAACCCGGUGAUCUAGCCAUGGGCAGGUUGAAGGUUGGGUAACACUAACUGGAGGACCGAACCGACUAAUGUUGAAAAAUUAGCGGAUGACCUGUGGCUGGGGGUGAAAGGCCAAUCAAACCGGGAGAUAGCUGGUUCUCCCCGAAAGCUAUUUAGGUAGCGCCUCGUGAAUUCAUCUCCGGGGGUAGAGCACUGUUUCGGCUAGGGGGCCAUCCCGGCUUACCAACCCGAUGCAAACUGCGAAUACCGGAGAAUGUUAUCACGGGAGACACACGGCGGGUGCUAACGUCCGUCGUGAAGAGGGAAACAACCCAGACCGCCAGCUAAGGUCCCAAAGUCAUGGUUAAGUGGGAAACGAUGUGGGAAGGCCCAGACAGCCAGGAUGUUGGCUUAGAAGCAGCCAUCAUUUAAAGANCAGACCGCCAGCUAAGGUCCCAAAGUCAUGGUUAAGUGGGAAACGAUGUGGGAAGGCCCAGACAGCCAGGAUGUUGGCUUAGAAGCAGCCAUCAUUUAAAGAAAGCGUAAUAGCUCACUGGUCGAGUCGGCCUGCGCGGAAGAUGUAACGGGGCUAAACCAUGCACCGAAGCUGCGGCAGCGAACGUAUCACCCAAGACAACUUUACGGAGUUGACGAUUGACGGAGCGAAGCGACGUCAAAGCGUUCAUUAAAGUCGAGUUGGCUUAGGGAUACGUUC
rnacentral:rRNA from 1 species